rnacentral:rRNA from 1 species
UACAGAGGGUGCGAGCGUUAAUCGGAAUUACUGGGCGUAAAGCGUGCGUAGACGGUUAUUUAAGUCGGAUGUGAAAGCCCCCGGGCUCAACCCCGGAAUAGCCUUUAAGACUGCAUCGCUUGAACACGGGAGAGGUGAGUGGAAUUCCGAGUGUAGAGGUGAAAUUCGUAGAUAUUCGGAAGAACACCAGUGGCGAAGGCGGCUCAGCUGGACCGUUGUUGACGGCUGAGGUGCGAAAGCGUGGGGAGCAAACAGG